CUACGUGCCAGCAGCCGCGGUAAUACGUAUGUCACAAGCGUUAUCCGGAUUUAUUGGGCGUAAAGCGCGUCUAGGUGGUUAUGUAAGUCUGAUGUGAAAAUGCAGGGCUCAACUCUGUAUUGCGUUGGAAACUGUGUAACUAGAGUACUGGAGAGGUAAGCGGAACUACAAGUGUAGAGGUGAAAUUCGUAGAUAUUUGUAGGAAUGCCGAUGGGGAAGCCAGCUUACUGGACAGAUACUGACGCUGAAGCGCGAAAGCGUGGGUAGCAAACAGGAUUAGAUACCCUGGUAGUCCACGCCGUAAACGAUGAUUACUAGGUGUUGGGGGUCGAACCUCAGCGCCCAAGCAAACGCGAUAAGUAAUCCGCCUGGGGAGUACGUACGCAAGUAUGAAACUCAAAGGAAUUGACGGGGACCCGCACAAGCGGUGGAGCAUGUGGUUUAAUUCGACGCAACGCGAGGAACCUUACCAGCGUUUGACAUCCC
rnacentral:rRNA from 1 species